UACGUAGGGGGCAAGCGUUGUCCGGAUUUAUUGGGCGUAAAGAGCGUGUAGGCGGCCAGGUAGGUCCGCUGUGAAAACUCGAGGCUCAACCUCGAGAUGUCGGCGGAAACCAUCUGGCUAGAGUCCGGAAGAGGAGAGUGGAAUUCCUGGUGUAGCGGUGAAAUGCGCAGAUAUCAGGAAGAACACCUAUGGCGAAGGCAGCACUCUGGGACGGUACUGACGCUGAGACGCGAAAGCGUGGGGAGCGAACAGG
rnacentral:rRNA from 1 species